UGUGAAUUUUCCUAAAGUACCUGUAUGUGCCGAAGUUGGCUACCGCUGAACGUAUACGUCUCGCCCCCUCAUUUCGGAAGACAGACAUACCUGCUGAUGCUACAACACAUCUAAAUAUGCUCUUACGGGCCCCAGCAUCCUCACUGUCAACAAUCUUUAUUGUUAAGAGUGUAUAUCCUGCUCUCUGCUGCUUUGGAGGCUUUCUAGAGGAUGCUGGUAUAAUUGCGUUCCCAGGCCUUGAUCGACUAAACAUUUGGUAAAUCCUGGUGCCAUUACUUCCCCGGGGAAACAGAGCACACAUACACGGCGGUCCAGGUGACGUAAAAGAAAACGGGACUCAUCAGACCAGACGACCUUCCACUGCUUCAAGCUCCAGCUCUGACGCUUGCAUGCCCACUGUAGGUGCUUUCAACAAUGGACAUGGGUCAGCAUGGGCACUCCGUCUACGCAGCAGGGUGUGAUGCACUGUGUGUUGACACACUCCUCCAAUAUCAAUCAUUGCAAUUUUCUGUGACUUGUGCCACAGAAGACCUUCUGUUGAUUUGGAUCAGAUGGGAUAGCCUUCAUUGCCCUUGUGAAAAACCCCCUUUCGCUGGUUUGUCCCUCCUUGGACAACGGUCAAGCCUUGUCAUUUCAGAGAUUCUCUGACCCAGUCAUCUAGCCAUAACAAUUCGCUCAGGUCUUUACUCCUGCCCAUUUCUCUGCAUCCAACACGUUGAUUAGGAAAACUGACAGUUUGCUUACCAUUUUAUCUCCUCAGACCUUGACAUGUGCCCUUAUUCGUUAUUAGCUUCACCUCUGAAUGGUCAAAGUUUUGCCUCAUCAGUGUACUGAUGAAAAUAUAUUAGAGGAAAAUCUAGGUGAAGGAAGUGGUUGAUUGAAGCAGUUUGGAUUAUAUAAAAAGCUGUACCUCGUCUGCAUCAGAACCAUAAUGCACAGCUCUUCUGCUUUGUCAUCUAACCAUUCAAAACAAAAGCAAAUGUAUUCUUUUUUUACAUAUGUAAUUUGUUCCAGAAAGCAGGAGCAAUGGUCAAUAACCAAAUCUUUUGAGACCAGUGUAGCUCUGCAAAAGUACUCUGCUUUCCACAAGAGAAUAGAUUGCCAACUAGCUACAUAGUGCAGCUUUAACAUGUCAGUAAGCUAAGUUUCAUUAUGUGGUAGCAGUUCAUACAAACUUUGGAUAUGAUUAUAUUAAAAUAUAGGAAAACAGUAUAUUUAUUCUUAUUCUGUUACAUUUCAUUGGCAGGGGAUGGGGAGUAUCUUAGGAUCUAAAUAAAUAUGCAGUGAGCAAAGCCCAUUUAAAACUCUAGCCCUACUUAGCUUUUUUAAUUUCCAUUGGACAAUUACACACAUUCACCAGAAUGACUCAGGGUCAAAUAAUCUGAGACAUUAAAUAUUGCUGUCCAACAAUGAUUCCUGACCAAAUUUACUAAGCAUGAGCAAUUAUUAUAAAAACAAUCGAUUGAUUGCCCUAUGAAUUUACCAAAGUGCCUCCACUAAGUAUUUACAUGGGGUGUGAAUACAUGCUUGUUUAUUAAUUUGGAGAAUGUUCUUUCACUGUAGGGGAACUUUUAAUUGAAUGCCUUUUAUUUUAAAAUUAAAACCUGAAUGGCUAGCAUUGUGAGUAAUGAGACUGCAACCUGACUUUCUCUGAAGCUGUUAUGGCUGUGAGAAAUUUGAAGGGAAGCAUGGAAUAUGGGCCUACAGUUGGUGACACUGAGGCUCUUUAAUUUGGAAACUUUAAAGUGGACGGAAAGUUUGCUACAGAAUGAUUCUUGCAUGGGUGCAAAGUAUUUACAUGUGACACAUUUUCUGUCAGCUCUUUCUGGGCAUUGUUGUUGAGAAUAAUUUUUUAGAUCAUUAGUGACUAAUAAUCUGCUUGUGUUUUAAUGGUGUGAGAACCAUUAUUGAAGUUGACAUUUGAUUUGUUUGUCCUGUACCAUGACUUGUUUGCUCAAUAUUUCUUUCAUUGCAGCACAAUUCACAACUUUGACAUUCACCACCAGAAAUUAUAUUUUUUAAGAGAAUGACAAUGUGUUUGUUCUUACAAUAUUUUCCUGUUCAUUUACAGCUUUAAACUGGCAACUGUGCUGCCAGACUUUUUACCAUAUUUUUACCGGGUUUUAAGUACAUAAUUGUAAAUAAACAGUAAAUAAACAUUAAUGAAUCUUCAUCCUUUGUAUAUCAGUAGCUAACAUCCUAUUUUAGCGGUGAUUUGCCAUCUACUAAGGUGUUUCAUCCAUGUUUUAACAGGACUCUUCACUGUUUUUGCUGUUCAAUACCAU